CCAGUGUUGGGCAAUGACUACAAAGUCGUGUCAGCCCCAAAGUACUCAGCAAACAGAUCUGCAGCCCAGGCGGUGGCGACAGAAAUAUUUUCAGCGUGUGUAAAGAAGUCGAAGCCAGAAACAUCGUAAACUGUCCAUUUUCCACAUCUGAACUGUUGUCAAAUCCAAAUCAAUCAUAACAGGACAAGAAAAAUACUUCUUGGAGAUGUGGAUUUAGUUUUACAAUUGAGGAAAUGUUAAUACUACAGCUAUCUCACGGUUUUGGUGUAUCACAGAAUGUUACCACAUUCUUUCUGCAGUUGAUUAAACAAACAAUUCAUUUUGGAAAACUGAUCUU